ACACUCAGUGAAUGCUGGCCAGCAGC
rnacentral:piRNA from 2 species